AUUCAUGAACAUUGGAGCUUCUGGAAUCAAAUUCUUAUUUUGGAAUGAAACCUUCACAAGUCAAACUUCGGAAGCAGGAAAAAGUUGCAUGUUUUGAUGAUAAUGAGGCUUGGCUUGCUCUGGAUCCUAAAAACAAGUACAGAAUUCAGGCAUGAUACUGGUGUGAGAUGGAUUCUUUUCUUUCAAGAUAUCAAUGCACUUCUGUUAUGCAUUUCUGUUCAAGGGAAUUCCAGCAUCAUUAGGCGUCAGUCCUGCCGAGCAGUUCUAUGUUAACUCUCUUGCUGUUCCGCGCAAAGCGAAAGAAGCUAUUGGAGGCAGAACCAAGCUUACUUA